rfam:Ictidomys tridecemlineatus contig036844, whole genome shotgun sequence.
GGAUAUGAGGGAAAUAUUGCUGUGACAACCACCAUCUCAUUGAUUGCCAAAAUUGAUUUGACUGAUCUGCUGGCUAGGCAGGUAUCUCCUUCCUCUCUCACCCUCCCUGUGCCAUACUUUGGGUCAAAGAGGACCACCUUCCCUGAUAAGGAAGACAGUUCUUCAGUCAAAGACAUCAAAGAUAUAUAAUUAGCUAUGCUCCCCUAUGGGAAACUUCAAACAAGCUCUCAAUGUUUUCCAUACAGUGCAAGAACAAUUAUUUUUCUAUUUUAAAAGUUAAAGGGAAUUUAAUUUUAAUCAUGUUUAUGUUACAGAUAAUCAU